rnacentral:rRNA from 1 species
AUUGAACGCUGGCGGCAGGCCUAACACAUGCAAGUCGAACGGUAGCACAGAGAGCUUGCUCUCGGGUGACGAGUGGCGGACGGGUGAGUAAUGUCUGGGAAACUGCCCGAUGGAGGGGGAUAACUACUGGAAACGGUAGCUAAUACCGCAUAACGUCGCAAGACCAAAGUGGGGGACCUUCGGGCCUCACACCAUCGGAUGUGCCCAGAUGGGAUUAGCUAGUAGGUGGGGUAAUGGCUCACCUAGGCGACGAUCCCUAGCUGGUCUGAGAGGAGGGCCAGCCACACGGGAACUGAGACACGGUCCAGACUCCUACGAGAGGCAGCAGUGGGGAAUAUUGCACAAUGGGCGCAAGCCUGAUGCAGCCAUGCCGCGUGUAUGAAGAAGGCCUUCGGGUUGUAAAGUACUUUCAGCGGGGAGGAAGGCGGUGAAGUUAAUAGCUUCACCGAUUGGCGUUACCCGCAGAAGAAGCACCGGCUAACUCCGUGCCAGCAGCCGCGGUAA